GAUCCUGGCUCAGGAUGAACGCUAGCUACAGGCUUAACACAUGCAAGUCGAGGGGCAGCAUGGUCUUAGCUUGCUAAGGCCGAUGGCGACCGGCGCACGGGUGAGUAACACGUAUCCAACCUGCCGUCUACUCUUGGACAGCCUUCUGAAAGGAAGAUUAAUACAAGAUGGCAUCAUGAGUCCGCAUGUUCACAUGAUUAAAAUGUAUUCCGGUAGACGAGUGGGG
rnacentral:rRNA from 1 species